ACCUUGAACCACGACACAGACUAGUCCUCACCUUCAUCAGCAAAGGCACACAUGAGAUGAGAUUCUGUCUGCUUGUGUCAUCUUCAGAGAGUUUUCAUAGAGUCUAGAGGAUUUUUGUAAUCACAAAAGAGGAUAUGAAGCACACAGAGCCUGAAGAUCUCCAAGAGAGGGCAAAGACUGGACUUUGAUUUGGUGCGUUUUUUCAGGUUGUGGAUAUGUGUCUGCAGCCUUCCGUAGGGCUCAUUCUGGUCAAGAGAGGAGAUGUGUUCACUGUUGAGGGAGAGACUGGAUAGGGAGAUGCUCCGACUCUGCAGAGAAGAGCGUUGGGACCGGAAAUUGCAUGAAAAGGAAUGAAGAUCUUUCUCCUGCCACAUCUCUCAAGAAUGUUUUUCAUUUGGCAAACAAUGAUGAUAACAAAAGUGAACUGGUACAUUAGAAGUCAUACAAUUCAGCAAAAUAAUGCAGACACUGUUGAGGACAUGGAGAUAGAGUAUAGUUCUGUAUCUAAACCUUCAUCUCCUAUAGGUCUGUCGGCUCCGCUUGCGCCUCCUUAGGCCCAGGCGUCUCAGUCCUCUCAGCAAAAUAGUGCAGACACAGUCGAGGACAUGGAGGUUAAAUUUCAUCUCAAUGUAUUUACAGACAUUCAUCUCUUGAUGGUCUGUUGGCUACAGUUGCGCCUCCUCAGGCCCAGAGUCUCAGUCCUCUUGGGUAGAUUGUGAACAUUAUUAGUGCCAAUAUUAAUGAAAAAGUAGUUUCAUGUUUUAUUUACAGCAAAAUAAUGCAGACACUGUUGAGGACAUGGAGAUAGAGUAUAGUUCUGUAUCUCAACCUUCAUCUCCUAUAGGUCUGUCAGCUCCGCUUGCGCCUCCUUAGGCCCAGGCGUCUCAGUCCUCUCAGCAAAAAAGUGCAGACAAAUUCGAGGACAUGGAGGUUGAAUACAGUUCUUAAUCUCAAUGUAUUUACAGACAUUCAUCUCUUGAUGGUCUGUCGGCUACAGUUGCACCGUCUCCGGCCCAGGGUCUCAGUCCUCUCAGACAUUCAUCUCCUAAUGGUCUGUCGCCUCCACUUGCGCCUCCUUAGGCCCAGGUGUCUCAGUUUUCUCAGCAAAAUAUUGCAGAUGCAGUUGAGGACAUGGAGGUUGAAUACAGUUCUUCUCAGUCAUUUUAUCAAAGUCUCUCUGAAUUAAUCUGUAACCAGUCUAGUAUUACAUUUAGCGCCUCCUCACGGUCAAGCGCCUUCUCUUGCGUCUCUUCCCCACCUCCCUCUAGGAAGUGUCAGGCUGCUUCUUAUUCACAGGUAGAUUUAAACUGAAGCUUUUAGCAGAACUCAGUGUUAAUCUCAAUUUGCUUUAAUAUACGUGUAUUAAAUCUUAAUUACAGCACAGUAAUGGAGAUAAGGAUGAGAUGGAGGUGACACUAAAGAGGGCCAGACUGUGUGUAACAGCAAGCAAUAUUAAAGCUCAGUAAAUUUAUCAAAGUCUUUACCUUUGUUAUAUUACAAUUAGCUGUGCAUGAAUGUUUACAGAAACAGUUCUUAACAAUGUAUUUCUAUUCAUCUGCUCCUAGACUGUCGGCUUCGAUUGUGUUAAAAUUUCACCAAAGCCCCAAACGCUAUUAGUGACAAUUUCAUUGAGAAAAGAAGUUUCAUGUACGUGUAUUAAAUCUCUGAUUGUUUUAUUUACAACAACAACCACAAAAAACACUCUAUGGAGGAGAUGGAGGUCGACUGUUGUUCUGUUUUUCAGAAAGCCUUAAGCUUUGUUAUAUUAGAUUUAGUUUUUUACAUUUCAUUUUUUGUUUUAUGAUGUUUUAUUGCUUAAAUGUUUGCUGACGCAGUUCUCACAGUACUUUUAUAUGUAUUUGUAGACAUUCAAGUGCCUCCUCCUGCCUCUCCUUCUCAGCUCCCUCUCGCAAUAACUUAAAAGACAUAACACUUAUGUUUAUUUUAUUGCUGUCUUAGAAAAAUUUAUGUUUUCUUUUUGAAAAUA